UUGCAAUGGUUACGCCAAUGGAAGGACGGUAAGAACAGUAAGAGCAGCACGAGCCUCGACCACGGCAGUCGUGCUCGAGCGGAGGCGGUGGGAGCCGUCCUCUCCUCUACAUCGUGGAGAAGCGAGGAGAAGAGAGGAAAUGGAAGCAAAAAGAAUUGAAGAGAGAAGGGUUGGGAUGAAUCCGCCCCUGACUGGUGGCAUCGUCGUGGUCGAAGCGAAGGAGAGCGUGGGCGCGCACCUCGUCGUAUCGAUCUCAGAUUUUUCGACGACCGUUUCAAGAGCAGGAUACACUGGGUGGUCCCAUGAGAUGUACACAGAACAAUGAAUCAUACCUCGAAGAAAAGGAUUUCGGUGUGACACAGUACCAACUCUCCACGUAUUCCCUCAAGGUGAUCUAUACGAGCGAACGAGUACCAACCCGGAGAGAACCGAUCUCUGGUUUGUCAAGAGAGAAGAAAAAAAAGAAAAGGCAACGAUCUGUCGUCGGGUCCCUCGAAAGACCCAUUCUUCGUCCUAGUUAUGUUGAAAUCAUCGAUGGAACGAAAGAUAAAAUGUGUCCAGAAAAAUAAUCAUUAAUCUUCAAAAACUUUCAUUGUAAAAAAAAUCACGCACACGUUUGCAUUAUCUUCAAAGGUACUUUCAUCUCACAGUACAGUUAUGUUUUAUUUGUACAAAUUAAAAAGAAAAUUAAAAAAAAAAAAAACGACAAAUACACAAUUCAAAUCAUUUAUUAUUAUAUUUAUUAUAUUAUUUAUACGAUCGGGCAAAAGUUCUUGGAUGGAACAACAUUUUGUUUUUUUUUUUUCUUUUUGUUUUAUUCGCAAACAGAAGAGAAUCUAUUAUUACAUAUACGAAUCAUUCAAUUAUUACGCUAUUCAUUUAGGAAUAAUUCAUUGUCUUUGAUUUAACACGAAAUUCUCAGCUGAUUCAGUUGGAUGAACAUGCAUAUUCCAUUCUUGAACAAUGUAAUUUCUAGCUAAUAGGCCACACGGCCGGGUCAAAUGAAUUUGCCAUUUACAGUGAGCGUGCGAGCUCUUACAUAGAUGCUACGGACAAAGAGAGUGAAGAAGAACAGAGAACUGUUCAUUCUACGUCUUCGGGGGUGGUCUAAUUCUCUCUCUCUCUCUCUCUCUCUCUCUCUCUCGGUUUAUUUUUUUAUCUAUCUCUAUCUAUCUAUCUAUCUCUAUCUGUCUAUCUGACUAUCUCAUGAUUCUGUUUCCUUUCAAUUGAGCCUCAGAAGAUUUUCUUAAGUAAUUCAUACUUGUGAUAAUGAAUCAUGAUCCAUAGAGUAUCUUUCAUUGUAAAAAUUUCCUAAGCCAUUGAAGAAGAUAAAUUGGAGAUAAAUUUUUCCAAAGACAUUCAAAGUCCUUGAAUAUUUUUAAUACCAUUAUACCUGAUCAAACUUUCAGUUAUUAUUUUAUUUAUCAAACUUCAUUUUUAUGAUUGAUUUCAUAGCAUUAAUGAUAUAUCUUAUUAAUAGUGAAAUAUGUUAGGAAAAAAAAAAAAGAAAAAAAUAAAACAAAUCAUGUAUAAAAAUGAUAACGGACAAUCUCGUGCUUGAAUGAAAUAAAAAUGAUAAUAUGAAUUUGCUCGAAGGGGAGCACGAUUUUCGUGCGUAACAACAUGCAAAUUCGAGACGGUAGUUCAAGCUGUCUCGUAUUCGCGUGUUAAGGAUUUACUCGAGUGUAAUUUGUGGCUAGUGGAAAUCUUAUGGGGAAUCGAAACGUCGUCGAAACGAAAACUCUUUUUCUCUUUCUCCUUCGAACGUUCGUUUCGAUAGCUCGAAGCGAUUCGCUUGUUACAGACCAUGAAAUGAGAGGAAGCGAGGAGAGGAAAGGAAAGGGAAAGAAGAGAAAAGGA